GACGAACGCUGGCGGCGUGCUUAACACAUGCAAGUCGAACGGAAAGGCCUGCUUUCCCUUGUGGAUUGCGGGUACUCGAGUGGCGAACGGGUGAGUAACACGUGAGUGAUCUGCCCCCAACUUGGGUAUAAGCCUGGGAAACUGGGUCUAAUUCCCGAUAGGACUGCAGGGUGGUGCCUGUGGUGGAAAACGAUUUUCUAGUGGUUGGGGAUGAGCUCGCGGCCUAUCAGCUUGUUGGUGGGGUAAUGGCCUACCAAGGCGGCGACGGGUAGCCGGCCUGAGAGGGUGGACGGCCACAUUGGGACUGAGAUACGGCCCAGACGCCUGCGGGAGGCAGCAGUGGGGAAUAAUGCACAAUGGGCGGAAGCCUGAUGCAGCGACGCCGCGUGGGGGAUGACGGCCUUCGGGUUGUAAACUCCUUUCGACCGCGAGGAAGCCACCUGGUUGGAAGGGUGGUGACGGUAGUGGUAGAAGAAGCACCGGCUAACUACGUG
rnacentral:rRNA from 1 species